rnacentral:rRNA from 1 species
GACGAACGCUGGCGGCGUGCCUAAUACAUGCAAGUCGAACGCAGUGGGGACUGGGGAGUAACACGUGGGUCCCCUCCCAUCAGGGGGGAUAACACUUGGAAACAGGUGCUAACUCGACACUGAUGGAUGAACCCGCGGGGCAUUAGCUAGUUGGUGGGGUGACGGCGCACCAAGGCCACGAUGCAUAGCCGAGCUGAGAGGCUGAUCGGGCACACUGGGACUGAGACACGGACCAGACGCCUACGGGAGGAAGCAGGAGGGAAGCGUCGGCAAUGGACGAAAGUCUGACCGAGCAACGCCGCGUGAGUGAAGAAGGUUUUCAGAUCGUAAAACUCUGUUGUUAGAGAAGCGGUAUCUAACCAGAAAGCCACGGCUAACUACGUGCCAGCAGCCGCGGUAAUAC